rnacentral:tRNA from 1 species
GCGGUGUAGCUCAGGUGGUUAGAGCAUGCGGCUCAUAUCCGCAGUGUCCGGGGUUCAAA